rnacentral:rRNA from 1 species
UACGUAGGCAGCAAGCGUUGUUCGGAGUUACUGGGCGUAAAGAGUGUGUAGGCGGUGCUCUAAGUUCGGUGUGAAAUCUCCCGGCUUAACUGGGAGGGUGCGCCGGAAACUGGAGUGCUCGAACGUGGGAGAGGAAAGCGGAAUUCCUGGUGUAGCGGUGAAAUGCGUAGAUAUCAGGAGGAACACCUGCGGUGUAGACGGCUUUCUGGACCAUUGUUGACGCUGAGACACGAAAGCGUGGGUAGCAAACAGG